GUUGUUCAGGGCUGAAUUGGAAAUUUGUGAUGUUGCUGAGGUAGCCACUGAAUCAUCAUGAAUCGUCACUGAAAAAAUUUAAGCUACUGAGGAAGACAGGAAGAAAAUAUUGUUUAGCACCAAAAUAGAGCAUGCGUUUUUUUUCAUUUAUUCUCUACUGAAGAUUUUUUGUUCUGUAUACACUACUGCUGAAAUAAUAUCAGUAUCAAUUCUAUAACACCAUAAUAGAUCACCAACUGGUCAGUCUUAAGGCUUUUGAGACAAACCAGCUCAGCAAGUCUGGCAAGUUAUUUAAAGUACAUGUCACCAGAGACUUUCAAAGGAUAUGUGAACUGCCAUUUUCUGAUACCGAUAGCAGCAGUGAGGGGCAGUGAAUGACUGGCUAUGUGUGGGACUGAACUGCCUGCUGAAGUAAAUCCACAGCCACUUAGACAGGUUUAUGUGCUGAGCAUGAUACCAUAUGGUAUCCCUCUGGUUAUCUGAGGCUCAGCAGAAGGUAUAAUGCUGGAAAAAAGCACAAGGACCCUCUACUGAGCAAGUCUGGCCAGCAUGUGUCCAAUGGAAUUCAAUUUUCCAGAAAAUAUUGGGUGAAUUAAAUAUCCGUCACAUUAUAAGACAAAUAUCCACAUAAAACCAUUCUAUAUUGCUCUUAAACAAAAUACAUGAUUUUGCAGUAAAA